CUAAAUAAAUAAAUAGAUUGAUAGAAAUUGGAACAAUACAGAGAAGAUUAGCAUUGCCCCUGUGCAAGGAUGACAUGCACAUUCUGAAGUGUUCCAUUUUUUA